UACGCGAAUGCACGCCAGCAAAGCUAACGCUCACAAAGAUUUUACGAAUAGGGUGUGCAGAUUGUUAACCUCACCGAUAAAGGUGGUCCCAACCUUUGGAAGUCUUGAAUUUCGCUACUUGAUAGUUGUAUAUUAUGUUUUUGCUUCCUUACUCUGUUCCACCUUCUCCCCUUGUGAGAUAGCAGUGUUCAUUAUUGUUGACAUCCCUCGGCCUCCAUGGGAAUUGUUUCAACACGAUUCGAGUGGGGUUGUUCUACGUUGUAUACAACCAAGAAGAGAUGCUGAAAGGUCACAAUAGUCAAGAUGAUUGGAAGUCAUAGCAAGCUAUUGCCCUAGCCUUGGAAAUGGCGACCGAUAAAUACGGGUCCUCCCCUAAGGGUUAGAAUAAGAAGGUAGUUAAUGCAACGAGUUUCGUCCUAUUUUGCUAACCAAAAUAGAAGCAAGGAGCAAAGUGCAAAAAUACCUUUCUGCGACGUUUCGUGACGCGCGUCAAGAAAAACGCAGUACUUCGAGGAAGAACAAGCGCCACACAGAGGGGCCCUUUGAAGCUCGUAUCGGUCAAGGCCGAGGCUUGUUUUCGUUGCUUACCAUUUCCUGCAUGCUGUAAUGAUUAUAACGUACGUUUAUGCAACCUUAAAGAAUAAUCAAUGAACAAUCACGGAGCGCUCAUUGCAUUCAGUCGACACCCCUCCAAAGCUGCGCAGCGAACAAGAUGAAUGAUCAAUCAAAGUUGUUUUGAGCCCUUCGGGCGGACUGAGCAGUGGUAACAAUUACGGAAGAGGGGAGGACGUGUAUCUCUUGGCGUCCACAGUCUCAGCGUACAAUUUAUAUCUCUGUGCUAGGCGUUUGCUCUCGCUUUGAUUCUCGCCAUUUGUGGAGAUAUGUUUGGAAAAACGUAUGUGUGGCGAGGUGAUCCACGCGCUCGACAAAGUCCUAGUAUUUUUCCAGUAAGUUCUUCUGGUCAGUAGCAGAUGUCUGGCAAAUUCAUCUAUCGCUGAAGAGGCACAGAUGACAAGCGACAUGUCAGGCAGACAGUCGCCGGGGGGACUAGGACCAGCGCCGCCUUACCACACUUCGAGAUAAGCCUAAACGCUGGCUUUAUUCAUCCGUCCUAUUUAAUGAGAUUAUACGUAUCUUGUAUUUGACGAGGAAUUAUAGGCGUACAAAGAUGUUAUAAUAUUGUGAGUGGCUAUUGUAAUGCAGAUGUAUUUGUCAGCUAAGCGAAAACUGUUCGAGGAAGAUUGUGGCGAUAAAAAGAUCCACUGCUGACUUGGACACUUCUUGAACGUGAAGGAAGAUUAAAGUAUCGUUCCAUGAAUAAAUACAAUGAGCAUUGUCUAGAGAGACAAUACGCUUAACGCAACGUUCCUAUUUUAGAUUGACUCGCUUAGGACGUUAUUUAUGGCGUAGGCGUUCAUUUGGGCUGAAAUGAACGCAUUGUAGAACAGCGUAGUAUUUUAUGGAGAAUCUACGAAAGGAAAGACGUACUGCACACAAGCGAGCG